rnacentral:lncRNA from 1 species
GCUAAUUAUCAGGGCUCUGGUAGUGUUGUGACCAAGUUUGCCAAAUUUGUCUUUCAUUUGUUUCAGCAAUGCUUACAUUCCAAGCAAGGGAUACCUGUUAAAUGUUUAACUGGAAAGUACAUUUUUACCAUUAUUUAUGUAGUUUCAGUAGGACUGAUUUCACUAUAGAAAUGAAGGGAUAAAAAUAAGGUGAUAAAAGUAAUACCUAACACAUAUUGAAUGUUUUAAGAUUUACAAAUAUCGUUUUGUUUAAUCCAAACCACAACCCUCUCAGGUAAACAUUAUUACUAUCUCUGGUUCACAUAAAAGAAAAUUAUAAUUCAAGAUCACACAAUUAAGUGAUAAAACUCUUUUCUUUUUUGUUCUCCAGAGAGAUCUUCUAACAUAAUAAUUAAGAGAAUGGGUUUAGAGCCAUGCAGACCUGUGUUUAAAGACAUCUGUGCUCCACCAUUUAGCACAGAGAUUGCCACUGAUAUAAAUACUUGAUGCUUUCUCAGCAUGACUGGAAUACGGUCCAAGGAACUGAGCCUCUGCUGAGUGCAAUACUUGCCUUUGGAAAUGCAUUCUUAGAUCUCCAAGAUCCUGUGAAGAUGCAAUACAUCACCAAGGAAAUGACUCUCUAG